UACGUAGGGUGCAAGCGUUGUCCGGAAUUAUUGGGCGUAAAGAGCUCGUAGGCGGUUCGUCGCGUCGGCUGUGAAACCGUGAGGCUCAAACCUCGGCCUGCAGUCGAUACGGGCGGACUUGAGUACUGCAGGGGAGACUGGAAGUCUGGUGUAGCGGUGAAAUGCGCAGGAUAUCAGGAGGAACACCGAUGGCGAAGGCAGGUCUCUGG
rnacentral:rRNA from 1 species